AGUUACUGCUAUCGAGGUUCGACUAAGCCAUGCGAGUCGAAUGUAGCAAUACAUGGCGAACUGCUCAGUAACACGUGGACAACCUGCCCUUAGGUUGGGUAUAAACCCGGGAAACUGGGUAUAAUACCCGAUAGGUCUCGAUUGCUGGAAUGCAUCGAGAUUUAAAGCUCCGGCGCCUAAGGAUGGGUCUGCGGCCUAUCAGGUAGUAGUGGGUGUAGCGUACCUACUAGCCUACGACGGGUACGGGUUGUGAGAGCAAGAGCCCGGAGAUGGAUUCUGAGACACGAAUCCAGGCCCUACGGGGUGCAGCAGGCGCGAAAACUUUACAAUGCUGGCAACAGCGAUAAGGGAACCUCGAGUGCCAGGUUACAAAUCUGGCUGUCGAGAUGCCUAAAAAGCAUUUCAUAGCAAGGGCCGGGCAAGACCGGUGCCAGCCGCCGCGGUAACACCGGCGGCUCGAGUGGUAACCGUUAUUAUUGGGUCUAAAGGGUCUGUAGCCGGCCGGAUAAGUCUCUUGAGAAAUCUGGCAGCUUAACUGUCAGGCUUUCAGGAGAUACUGUCUGGCUCGAGGCCGGGAGAGGUGAGAGGUACUUCAGGGGUAGGGGUGAAAUCUUGUAAUCCUUGAAGGACCACCAGUGGCGAAGGCGUCUCACCAGAACGGACCUGACGGCAAGGGACGAAAGCUAGGGGCACGAACCGGAUUAGAUACCCGGGUAGUCCUAGCCGUAAACGAUACUCGCUAGGUGUCGGCCACGGUGCGACCGUUGUCGGUGCCGUAGGGAAGCCGUGAAGCGAGCCACCUGGGAAGUACGGCCGCAAGGCUGAAACUUAAAGGAAUUGGCGGGGGAGCACCACAACGGGUGGAGCUUGCGGUUU
rnacentral:rRNA from 1 species